rnacentral:lncRNA from 1 species
UCAUCAUAAUAAUGAAUCUGAUGUUGAAAAUAUGUCAGGUAAAUAAAUCAGAUAAAUAAAAUAAAUGCAUAUUUUAUCUUGGAAAGUACAUGUUGAAGUCAACUAGUGAGUCUCUAGGAGGGUUCUUAAAACAUUUGUCAGCAAAGAAAUGUCCAGAUUCAGAUAUGUGAAAAAUAGUAAUGCAAUUUACAAUUGUGCCUUUUAAUAGGUGCUCCUUAGAUAUCCACAAAUCCCCCCUACUACCCCUCCAUUUAAAAAACUUUGCAUUUCCCAGUGAGUACAACUUUUGCCCUUGCUAUUAAUAACUCAUCACAAUGACAGACAGCUAUAUUAUAGUACUUAAGUUAUAAAUAGUAUACAUUUUUACAUUGACAAAUNNNNNNNNNNNNGUUCAAAGGAUUGUUUGUGUGAAACAGAGAUAUAUGGACCCCACUGAUCAAUGUACAAAGAUCCUUUGUCAAAGAAGUUAAAUUUAUUUUAGCAAUGUUCCUUAUUAAAAUUAUUUUUAUAUUCUUAUUGGAACUCUAAAAUUGAUUUUUGUUUUCUACUACAUUUGUUUAAUCAUUAAUGAUUAUCCUGAGCUAGCAAUUGCAAUAUAGCUAUUUAUAUAUAAGGCUAACAUAUAAUUUUAUGCAUUUGUUUGUAAACAGUUUGUAAGAAAGAAGAUGAAUCUGUUAAUCCAAUUGAAUAGACCAUACAUGUUUGUAUGGCUCAGUUACUGGAUAGGGAGGAGUAUUUUUCAUUUUCUGUAGCAGAUAAAUAUUCACCAUAUGCUUUAUGAUUGCGGAUUCAAAGUUGAACUGUUUUCGAGACUGGGAGAGGGUGCUAUUGAUACAUGUGAGCUAUUGAUAUCUUUAUUUUGAACUUCCUCUAUCUUCCUCUGAAAAAGUGAUGAGUGAGACUCUCAACUAUAUCAUAGAUAAUUAUUUUUCAUAUUAAACAGUGAAAGAUUCUAAUGUGCUAUUUGAAGCACUUUUCUUUUUCUUCUGUGGGGACUAACUAUAGUCAAAACUGUAGUUCACUUUUCAAGACUGUGCCAUGGCUUCAGCCUUUAAUUUUGUCAUUGUGUAGUUUAUUCUUCCCUUGACAAUGACAUGAGGACCAAUUUUCUCUUUAUUAACAAUAGAAAAAUGCUGAGUUUGUGAAUAAGCUAGUCAUUCUUUGUAUUUGGCCGGACUUCAUGUUUCCUAUCUUAAACUGACUUUAGAAAUGGUUUAUUUUAUAUCUUGGUAAAUAUAUACCCUAUAAACCUAGUGAUUUUUACUUUAAAACUAAGACAAUAGUGCCAGUUUUACCUUAGAUG